UGUGGUUGAAUGUUGUGGUUAAAUGCUGUGGUUGAAUGCUGUGGUUGAAUGUUGUGAUCGAAUGUCGAAUGUUGUGGUCAAAUGCUGUGGUUGAAUGCUGUGGUUGAAUGCUGUGGUUGAAUGUUGAAUGCUGUGGUCGAAUGCUGUGGUUGAAUGUUGAAUGUUGUGGUUGAAUGUUGUGGUCGAAUGUCGAAUGCUGUGGUUGAAUGCUGUGGUUGAAUGUUGUGGUUGAAUGUUGUGAUCGAAUGUCGAAUGCUGUUGUC
rnacentral:sRNA from 1 species